UGCCCUUGUGUUACCCAUUCAUUUUUUUAAGUGAUGAAUGAGGCGUCAAACAGGGCAAAAAUUAAAAUCCUCCAUGCUUUCCAAGGUGCCCUUGGACUUGUCUAAUGUCCAGGGCACAGGUAUGCAUAGAGACAUUA